rnacentral:rRNA from 1 species
UGGCGGCGUGCCUAAUACAUGCAAGUCGAACGCACAGCGAAAGGUGCUUGCACCUUUCAAGUGAGUGGCGAACGGGUGAGUAACACGUGGACAACCUGCCUCAAGGCUGGGGAUAACAUUUGGAAACAGAUGCUAAUACCGAAUGAAACUUAGUGUCGCAUGACACAAAGUUAAAAGGCGCUUUGGCGUCACCUAGAGAUGGAUCCGCGGUGCAUUAGUUAGUUGGUGGGGUAAAGGCCUACCAAGACAAUGAUGCAUAGCCGAGUUGAGAGACUGAUCGGCCACAUUGGGACUGAGACACGGCCCAAACUCCUACGGGAGGCUGCAGUAGGGAAUCUUCCACAAUGGGCGAAAGCCUGAUGGAGCAACGCCGCGUGUGUGAUGAAGGCUUUCGGGUCGUAAAGCACUGUUGUAUGGGAAGAACAGCUAGAAUAGGGAAUGAUUUUAGUUUGACGGUACCAUACCAGAAAGGGACGGCUAAAUACGUGCCAGCAGCCGCGGUAAUACGUAUGUCCCGAGCGUUAUCCGGAUUUAUUGGGCGUAAAGCGAGCGCAGACGGUUGAUUAAGUCUGAUGUGAAAGCCCGGAGCUCAACUCCGGAAUGGCAUUGGAAACUGGUUAACUUGAGUGCAGUAGAGGUAAGUGGAACUCCAUGUGUAGCGGUGGAAUG